GGCUUUAGUAAUUCGCGCAUCCUUAUUCAGAUUUGGUGACGUCGGGCGCCACGUCGGGUGGGCGGCGGCCAAUGGCGAGCCGGUGGCUAUGGCAACCUCUUAAUUUAUAGCAUAUCUAAAUUGGCUCCAGCCUUGCGCUUGGCACAGAGGGGGAAAAAGAAGGCAGCCCUAUUGUUGAGGGGCGAGAUUUUCACCUGGCUUGCCGGGGUACUCUAGCUCGCCAUCUGAAAUAGAUGCCAUCUGAAAAGAGAGAACAUGGGAAUCGUUCGUUCUUCCUAAAGAAAAUCUAUUUCCUCGACGUGAGCUCGGUGCGUUAGGAGGCCAGGCGGGGACUCAACGGGAUCCUUCCCACAUCCUUACUCUAGGAAGACCCCCUUCCUCUUUCAAAUGGAAUCUAAUUUUUCGUAAGGAAAAAAACAAAACAAAAACCCAAGCCACUUAAUUUGCCUGUUGGCCAAUUUCUAAUUUUGGAGGGGGGAAGGAGGAAGCGCGCUGGGCUGGAUAAGGCCCCGAUUUUAAAAUACGCGUCGGAGCAAGAGGGAAGGGGGUGGGUGGGCGGAAUGGCAAAGCUUCGGUGUGUGAGGGUCGUGUUUGUGUGUGUGUGUUUGUGAAGUCGGUGGCGAAGGGAAUAUUAAUGGCCCUUCCUGGACCCAAUGCAGAAAAAUCUGUUCAAAACAAAGGACUGGUGUGUUGUCCUGUGAGUCCAGCAGCCAAGACUUUUGUUCCCAAUGUGAGUGAGAGAGACCAGCUAUAGAACAAGGGAGACGCUGGACUUUGACCGGAGUGGAGAGUUCUAAAAAUGGAAUGUUAUUCAGUCUGGCAAACCUAUUUUUUAUUAUUAAAACAGAAAUCGUUUCCUGUCUUGACUAUAUGCAGUGAGAUUUUAAAAAAGGAAAAGGGUUGUGUGUGAAUGAUUGUAAAUUGAGACUCUCACUCUUAAGCUUAUUCCCUUUGGCAAGAUCUUUCCAGGUUUCCACCCGUUUGAAGGAGUUCUCUGUGUCCAAGGAAAGGUCUAAGGAUGGUAGAGGUUUGUGGGUGGGUGGGGAGGGUGGGGAGGUAAAUUCGACUUAAAGCAGAGUACUUCGGUUUUAAGAUUCUGGAUUGUUUUCUUUGGGUCUCUGUGUGAGAUACGGCCACCCCCUCUCCCCAUAUUUAGCACGGUCCGAAGGUCUUUGUCAAACGUGGGUGUAUUAUUCCUAGCGAAAGCUUUUCCAAUCUAAACGGAAAUUCAAUUAUAUGUACCAUCCAGACACAUAUAUCACACGCACGCACACACACGUGCACUUAUCUCCAUCCCUAUGAUUAACAUACCGCUCACACAACUGCCAUGUAAGACGUGAAGUUAAUCCGUAUCCUACCUACUAUGUUGGUGGCAUUUAAUGUUGGCGUUCGUAUCUCCCUUUACCUUUUGGUCUCAAAAUCUUUUUGAAUCUUGAAGAGACUCGGAAAGACUCCCACGCAGAAACCCACGUCCUCGAGAAGCAUUUGCAGGGCGGGGGGAGAUCUGUGGAUAAACACUCUAGAUAUUUGUUUCCUUCCAAACACAAGGCAAAACAAAGACCUUUAUGUACACAUACAUUUCCAAAGGCGCCCCGCGCGCCCUUUCUUGCAAAUAUUUUCUAUUGGGUAAAAUAUAUCAAUAGGACUUGCAUUUAUCUGCAGGUUGGUUGUGUUUUUUUAGGGAACGAUUUUUUUAAAAAAUUCUUUCCAGUUUUAAAACUAUGUUUUUACCUGCGUAGGGAAAAUCGAGUCCCGCGUAUAUACACGUAUACGUAUACAAUAUAGUAGAACAUGCAUUGUUA